rfam:Flavobacterium spartansii strain MST NODE_4_length_515812_cov_52.4575, whole genome shotgun sequence.
GAUUAUCGAAGGAUUAGACCUGAAUUCAUAAUC